UACGUAGGGUGCAGGCGUUAAUCGGAAUUACUGGGCGUAAAGCGUGCGCAGGCGGUUUGCUAAGACAGGUGUGAAAUCCCCGGGCUUAACCUGGGAACUGCGCUUGUUACUGGCAGGCUUGAGUGUGGCAGAGGGGGGUGGAAUUCCACGUGUAGCAGUGAAAUGCGUAGAGAUGUGGAGGAACACCAGUGGCGAAGGCGACUCUUUGGCCAGAAACUGACGCUGAGGCGCGAAAGCGUGGGGAGCAAACAGG
rnacentral:rRNA from 1 species